CCUUGCUCGUUCUUCUUCUUCUUCUUCUUUUUUCCCGUUUUGUUGUCCGAGCUCCAUUAAUGGCCCCCAAAACCCUAACCCUAGCACGAACCCUAUAUUGAGGUUCAGUGCGUUAAUGGCGGCAGCGGCGAGCUCGUGGGAGGAGGCGCUGAGGAAGAUGCUCCCCCCCGGGGCUCCGUUGCCCGAUGAGGACCACCUCGACUACUCCAUCUCCGUGGAGUAUGAUGGGCCCCCGAUACCCUACGAAGUCCCCAGGAUCAAGCCAUUGGAGAAUCGGAGCUCCUCUUCCUCGUCCUCCGCGGCGGCCGCCGCUGCCGCUGCAGCCGCCGAAGCGGCGGCGGCGGCGCUUCCCAGGGGCUCCCGCUUCGCCCGAUCCCGGUGCGCGGAUCCGCCGCGCGGGGCGGCGACGGAGAGCGCGCGCUCCUCCUCCGCGGUGCUUCCUCAGCCCGACUCCGACGGCGCCGCCGACGCGAGCUCCGCCUCCGCCUCCGCCUCCCCUCCUCAACGCGGCCCUGAGACGACAACGAAGCCCGAUCUCGCGGCGGAGCCGCCCGGGGACCCGAUCGCCGGCGCAUCGCCGCCUCGGCCGCCAUCGUCGUCGUCGCCGGCGGCGGCCGCGGCGGCGACGGGCGGCGGGGUGGGGCGGAGGGGGGCGUGCGCCCGGUGCGGGAAGGGGGGCAUCCUGCGGGAGCGGGAGGCGUGCUUGGCGUGCGGCGCGCGCUACUGCGGCGACUGCGUGCUGCGCGCGAUGGGGUCGAUGCCGGAGGGGCGCAAGUGCGUCGGCUGCAUCGGUCGCCCGAUCGCCGAGCCGAAGCGAUCGGCCCUCGGCAAGAGCUCUCGGAUGCUCUCCAAGCUCUUCAGCCCCCGCGAGGUCCAGCAGAUCAUGAAGGCCGAGAGGGAGUGCGCCGCGAAUCAGCUCCGGCCCGGGCAGCUCACCGUCAACGGCCAUGACCUGACACAGGAGGAGCUCGACGAGAUCUUGGGGUGCCCGAAUCCGCCGCAGAAGCUCAGGCCCGGGAGAUACUGGUACGACAAGGAUUCGGGACUCUGGGGAAAGGAAGGUGAGAAGCCUGAUCAGAUUAUUAGUUCGAAGCUAAAUGUGGGAGGAAAGCUACAGCCCGAUGCUAGUAAUGGUAACACACAGGUCUUUAUAAAUGGCCGUGAAAUCACUAAACUGGAGCUCAGAGUGCUCAAGCUGGCCAAUGUACAAUGCCCACGAGGUACUCAUUUCUGGGUAUAUGAUGAUGGUUCGUAUGAGGAGGAGGGGCAGAAUAUAAUAAGAGGAAAAAUUUGGGAAAAGGCGUCGACUCGUCUUAUUUGUUCGCUGUUCUCGUUGCCAACACCUCCUGAGAAUACUCCUGGGUUGAGAGAAGAUGCCUCUGCACCCUCAAGUAGGUUAAUUCCGGAGUAUCUAGAGCAAAGAAGAGUGCAAAAACUUUUGUUGCUUGGACUAGAGGGUUCUGGAUCGAGCACCAUUUUUAAACAGGCAAAGUUCUUGUAUGGAAGCAAGUUUUCUGCCGAAGAAAUGCAAAGUAUGAAGCUCAUGAUUCAAAGCAACCUCUACAAGUAUCUCAGUAUAUUGCUUGAAGGACGAGAACAGUUUGAGGAUGAAGCUUUGGAGGAGAAAAGGAAUCGUGGGCUGUAUGCUGAUGAGUCCCACCCUUCCGAGGAAAGCGAAGUCAAGGAAGAUUGCUCGUGUAUAUAUUCAAUAAACCAAAGGUUGAAGCACUUUUCUGACUGGCUGCUGGAAAUCGUGGCUAUGGGAGACCUGGAUGCUUUCUUUCCCGCCGCAACUCGUGAAUACGCCCCUGUCGUUGAGGAGAUCUGGAGAGAUCCUGCAAUCCAAGAGACUUAUAAAAGGAGGAAUGAGCUGCACUCUCUUCCCAACGUUGCUGGUUAUUUUCUCGAUAAGGCAAUUGAAGUUUCCAGCAACGAGUAUGAACCCACCGAGAAAGACAUCUUAUAUGCCGAGGGCGUCACCGACUGCCACGGCCUUGUUUUCCUUGAGUUCUCUCUAGAUGAUCAAAGCAUGAUUUCUGACCCACCCACUGGAAGAUUCGACUGCCCGUCAUCCCAAACUAAGUACCAACUUAUCCGCGUGGACUCCAAAGGGUUAAACGAAGGCUGCAGAUGGCUCGAGAUGUUCGAGGACAUUCGUGCCGUGAUCUUCUGCGUCUCUCUUAGCGACUACGACCAAAUGUGGCCUCGAGAUUCGGGCGAUCUUUGCAACAAGAUGAUCUUAAGCAAAGAACUCUUCGAAAAUAUAGUGAACCACCCUUCUUUCCAGGACACCCCCUUCGUCCUCCUCCUCAACAAGUACGACACCUUCGAAGAAAAGAUAGAUAAGAUCCCUUUGACAGUGUGCGAGUGGUUCUCCGAUUUCAGCCCCGUGAAACCGCACCACACGAACCAGUCACUCGCGAGCCACGCGUACUACUUCAUCGCGGUGAAGUUCAAGGAUCUCUACGCUUCUCUUUGCGAUCGAAAGCUCUUCGUCUUCCAGAUGAAAGCGCUCGAGCGAAGCACGAUCGACGACUCAUUUAAGUAUAUCAGAGAGGUGCUAAAAUGGGAUGACAUGAAGGACGAUAACGUCUUUGCGGUCCUUGACGAGUCCUUUUACACUACAGACGCAACCUAUUCGAACUAUCUUAGGCAGGAUUUGUAAUGGGUCUUAGGUUUCUUGUAGAGAGUUGUUUCACAAUGUAGUGUGAUAUUCUAGUUUGUCUCUUUCAUUUUCACCUUUUCUCUUGUUUUGUAGUGUAAUGUUCUCUCAUUUUCUCUGUAUAUUUAUAUAUAGAAUAUGCAUUGGAGAUGAAAUCCGACAACUUUUGUGGCUGCAUUAAGGGAGGGGGAAAAAAGCUGGGACUUCAGUUUUGCUGGAUGCUUACUGCUGCUGCUGCUGCUGCUGCUGCUGCUGCUGAGAGUAGCACUUCCAGAAGCCAGAGCUUAAGAAGACUGCAAGGUGCUUAGGGGGUGUUUGGUUUCUUGUAAAACUCUAGAAAACUGUUUUCGGGGAAAAAUGGUUUUCCGUGAAAAACGACCAUUUUCCAGAGGUUUCGAAAACGAAAACACUGUGAAAUAACCGUUGUACUAUAAAAGCUUAAGCUGUUAGAGAA